AGGUAUCACUCCGCCAGAAAGUAGAGACCCGUGUAUGUGUUUCCAACACAGGUAUCACUCCGCCAGAAAGUAGAGACCUUUGUAUGUGUUUCGUGUUUCCAACACAGACUUUUGAUGAGGAGGUAUCACUCCGCCAGAAAGUAGAGACCUCUGUAUGUGUUUCCAACACAGACUCAUCGUACCUGCAAGCUGCUUCUGCUCUUCCUUUCGCGUCCUGGGGAACACAACCUUCGCCCACACCUGACAAAAAGAUCAACAAACGGCACCGUAAAAUAAAAAAGACCACAGGAAAGCUAAGAAAUGCUCACACUGGAGACAGAAUGUUGUGCAAGCCAAAGAAAAAGACACUCCAUGUGUCACUUGAGUCCACUUCCUGACAGCGCAGCCAUCUUCAUUGCCUUUGUCCUUACUUCUGGCCCGAGAGGCGAUAAAUAAAAGCUGCACUUGUCCUCCUCAGCUCCAGGGAGCCACAAGUAUGGAGCCGCAGGUUGCAGACCCCCUCCAAGGAUCGUUCUUGGAAGAUUCCAACCAGGAACCCCAACCACCUGUUCUGUCUGUGCUGGUAGGAGGCUCUCGAGCCAACUCUUUACAAUUUUCACCUUUACCUGCAGCACACGGACUAUACUGCCAUCCUUUUUUCCAUGAACUUUGUUAUCUGAGCUCAGAUUUGAACAAGAUCCACAAACACUGAUUAAUUGAAAUGGAAUUAUAUAUAUAUGUGACAGUUCCUUACUGUCGUCGUGCGGGUUCCAUGGACCACUCAGGAAGGACAUGGCUUUGAGCAGGUUGACUCUUUUUAUUUUUUUCAAAUAAAGCUGUCUCU